rnacentral:rRNA from 1 species
CUGUGAUGUUUUGGGAAGGGGGACGGAGAAGGCUAGCCAAGCCAGAUGUUGGUUACUGGUCCAAGCGUUCGAGGCGUUGAGAACCGGCGAAAACGGUUUGAGCUGAGGCGUGAGUGCGAGCUGCUACGGCAGCGAAGUUGGUGACGUCAAGCUUCCAAGAAAAGCCCUAUACCCGUUAAAGCAUCAUGGCCUGUACCCGAAACCGACACAGGUGGGGUGGUAGAGAAUACCGAGGGGCGCGAGGUAACUCUCUCUAAGGAACUCGGCAAAAUGGCCCCGUAACUUCGGGAGAAGGGGUGCCACCGCAAGGUGGUUGCAGUGAAGAGGCCCAGGCGACUGUUUACCAAAAACACAGGUCUCCGCUAAGUCGCAAGACGAUGUAUGGGGGCUGACGCCUGCCCAGUUCCGGAAGGUUAAGGAAGCUGGUCAGCGCAAGCGAAGCUGGCGACCGAAGCCCCGGUGAACGGCGGCCGUAACUAUAACGGUCCUAAGGUAGCGAAAUUCCUUGUCGGGUAAGUUCCGACCCGCACGAAAGGCGUAACGAUCUGGGCGCUGUCUCGGAGAGAGGCUCGGCGAAAUAGAAUUGUCUGUGAAGAUGCGGACUACGUGCACCCGGACAGAAAGACCCUAUGAAGCUUUACUGUAGCUUGGUAUUGUGCCCGGGCUCUGAAUGCGCAGGAUAGGUGGGAGGCUUUGAUCAUCGGCUUGCGGGUCGAUGUGAGCCAACGGUGAGAUACCACUCUUUCAGAGCUAGGGUUCUAACAGUCACCCGUUAUCCGGGGACUGGACAGUAUCAGGUGGGCAGUUUGACUGGGGCGGUCGCCUCCUAAAAGGUAACGGAGGCGCGCAAAGGUCUGCUCAGGCUGGUUGGAAAUCAGCCGACGAGUGUAAAAGCAGAAGCAGGCUUGACUGUGAGACCUACAAGUCGAACAGGGAGGAAACUCGGCUUUAGUGAUCCGACGGUUCUGCGUGGAAGGGCCGUCGCUCAACGGAUAAAAGUUACUCUAAGGAUAACAGGCUGAUCUCCCCCAAGAGUUCACAUCGACGGGGAGGUUUGGCACCUCGAUGUCGGCUCAUCGCAACCUGGGGCUGAAGUCGGUCCCAGGGGUUGGGCUGUUCGCCCAUUAAAGCGGUACGCGAGCUGGGUUCAGAACGUCGUGAGACAGUUCGGUCCAUAUCCGGUGCAUGCGCAGGAAUAUUGAGAGGAGUUCUCCCUAGUACGAGAGGACCGGGAGGAACGCACCUCUGGUGUACCAGUUAUCGUGCCAACGGUAAACGCUGGGUAGCCAUGUGCGGAGAGGAUAACCGCUGAAAGCAUCUAAGUGGGAAGCCCACCUCAAGAUGAGUAUUCCCAUGGCGUUAGCCAGUAAGGUCACGGGAAGAACACCCGUUGAUAGGCUCUAUGUGGAAGCGCAGUAAUGCGUGAAGCAGAGGAGUACUACA